rnacentral:rRNA from 1 species
UACGUAGGGCGCAAGUGUUAUCCGGAAUUAUUGGGCGUAAAGAGCUCGUAGGCGGUUUGUCGCGUCUGCCGUGAAAGUCCGGGGCUCAACUCCGGAUCUGCGGUGGGUACGGGCAGACUAGAGUGAUGUAGGGGAGACUGGAAUUCCUGGUGUAGCGGUGAAAUGCGCAGAUAUCAGGAGGAACACCGAUGGCGAAGGCAGGUCUCUGGGCAUUAACUGACGCUGAGGAGCGAAAGCAUGGGGAGCGAACAGG